rnacentral:rRNA from 1 species
GAUGAACGCUAGCGGGAGGCCUAAUACAUGCAAGUCGAGCGGCAGCGCGUCCGACCACCCUCGGGUGGUCGGAUGGCGGCGAGCGGCGGACGGGUGAGGAAUGCAUCGGAAUCUGCCUCGUUGUGGGGGAUAACGUAGGGAAACUUACGCUAAUACCGCAUACGACCUGAGGGUGAAAGCGGGGGACCGUAAGGCCUCGCGCGAUUGGAGCGGCCGAUGUCUGAUUAGCUAGUUGGUGGGGUAAAGGCCCACCAAGGCGACGAUCAGUAGCGGGUCUGAGAGGAUGAUCCGCCACACUGGGACUGAGACACGGCCCAGACUCCUACGGGAGGCAGCAGUGGGGAAUUUUGGACAAUGGGGGCAACCCUGAUCCAGCCAUGCCGCGUGCGGGAAGAAGGCCUCGGAUGUAACGACUUCGGUACGGAAGAAAUACGC